rfam:Canis lupus familiaris chromosome 2, whole genome shotgun sequence.
AGGAGGAACAACAACAUUGGCAGCCGCCAGCUCUGGAGCCCUGGAUUCAGCUCCUGCAGUAACUACAGAGCUGUCAGUCUGCGGGGGCCUGGAGGCUCCGGGGCGGG